UUGAUACUCCUCCGUCUCAUAUUAAGCGACUUUCUAUUACAUGUAUCUAGACGUUUUUUAGGUAUAGAUACAUCCAUAUUUAGCCAAAUUUGAGUCACUUAAUAUGGGACGAAGGGAGUACGAU
rnacentral:pre_miRNA from 1 species